rnacentral:snoRNA from 1 species
GUUUUGCUAUGAUGAACUGUACCAAACUAGUGGAACUUGAUGAACAAAAUGUCUUUCAAUUUGUUCCAUGAGAAGAUGCUAUCAAGUGUCCGAAAACAA